ensembl:lncRNA
GGCGGCGGCGCGGAGCGCAGGGACCGCUCCCGCCGAUGUGUGUGGGCUGUCAGUCGAUUUCCCGAUGAGCUCGCCAACCACGCCGUUGCUUUGACAUGUCAGCGUCUGGAUGCCUCGGUGUCAUGCGGGCAUCUCCGUCUGAGCCCUGCGGAGAGCAGCUUAGAUCCGCUGGCCGGGGUUAAAAAUGAGCCGCUGUUAAGCUGCUGAAAGGGAUCCGCGCUGCCGCCAACGUGAGUGCUCCGCGCUGCCAGCGCAGGUGGAAGUGCAUGCUGAAUGCAAGGGGGGAUGCAGCUCUCGCCGGGUGACGCCGGCUCCAUCGGGAGCAUCCUGGCUUGCUUGUCUGGGAGAAGAUGGAAAGAGGGCAUCUUAAGGGAUUGCUGCAGCCAGUGGUGCUGCUGAAGGCAGAGUGUGAGAUUAAAGGUGGUAUCUGAGCAUAAAGAUACCGCAAACUUAUUUAGGAAUAAUGAAUAUAGAAAGGCUGGCUGCUGCAGGAAAUGUCCCCUUCGUAAAUCGGGCUGUUUGGAGCAAAAAAGAGCAAUUAUGUGCAUUCUGCUGCAGCUCAUUGUGGUGGGGUUAAUUUAGGAAAAGGAUGCUUGCUGGCAGCUAAAGGAAGCAGCAAGGAAGCAGCCUGGCAGAGGGGUCAAAAUGCAGAAUUACCAGACCAGGCUGCUGUUUUGAAAUGGCACAAUAUUCCCAAGGCAGGGGAACAUUUUUUGGAAUGAUUUAUCUUCUGAGAUAGUCAGGAGCAGGGAGACCUUAGCUUAGAGGGCUACUCUUAAUAAUUUUUUUUUUUAAAUUUUAAAAUAUUUUCAAAGACAGACCCUGUUUUGCAAAGCCCUGACACCACAAUGACAGGCACUGCUGAUACCAGCUGUCCUGCCUGCCAUCUGAAUGCCAGGCCUUCCCAGAAAUGCUGCUUGUGAAAGAUCCAUCACAGGGAAGUUUUUAACGCCCCGGUUUUGUGUGUGGGUGUGAAAGUGCAUCUGUGUUUGGGGAGAAGAGACAUGAACUGCUCAUUGUACCCUAAACCUAGCUGUGCAGCCAAUGAGUUGUUGUGAUGAUGAGUGUUAGGCAGGGCUGUGCUUUUAAAAGGACAGCCUGGCUGAGUUUAACAUGGUGAUCCCUCCUGGAGCUUUCAGCGCUCGUGGUCUUGAGCAUCUCGUAGAUAAAACUGGUGCCUGUUCCUCAAAAGCUGGUGUCGAAUGCCUGGUGCUCCCACAGGACCUCCUGCAUGGACACAGCAGGGACACAAGGUCUGAGCUGAUUCACAGCUCCAGCUGGGGUGGCAUAGUGAAAAUGCCAUGGAGGGCAACUUGGCAGGGUUGGUUUGGAUAGGAUGGGGAUUGGAAAGGCAGGCAAAUAGCACUGAAUCUUCCUGAAGAGAAGGUGACCAGGGAUCAAAAGGGAGAGAUGGCAUUGGUGUGUGCUGGGACAGGUCUGGAAUGUGAAGGGGACAAGGGUUUGUGAUGGCAGGGAGUGCUCCCUGGGCACUAACCCAUCACUGUCUGUACUUGUAAGCAAUGCACAAAGCCACAAUUGAGAGAUAUUGUGUGCUUGCAAAAAAAGGGGAAUGUGCUCCUUCCUCAUUUCUCUAUUAUAUGUUACAUUGCAAACUGUGCCUCAGCUCUCGUUCCAGAGGGAAAAGAGUAAUUGCUGUGAAGGGUUAUUUUUUUAAAAGCAGUAGCACAAGGAACCUGAAGCACAGCCUUCCUCUGAUAUAACCUUACUCUGGUCUCAUUCCCAGUGGCUGUUUCAGGACUGACCAGAACCAAACCAUUCAGCAGUGUAAGAGCACAUCCUCUGCAGAAGCAGCAGCCUGUCUUGGAGGGUUACUUCAUUUUAAUUCAUUAAAUUUACUGUUUGUAUUAUUUUGUUUAAUGCUGUUGAGGAAAAAUGGCCCUCUCUACUGAGCAUUCCUAUUAAAACAUGCCUAUUAAACCUCACCCCAUGAAAUCUCAGGGGCUGGCUGGUGCUAGUGGCAGUCCUGCUGAUGGUUCUAGUCUUGAAGGUUACAGGAACCAAGCACAGACCACUGUUGCUGUUGUCAAAGGCUAGGGAUCUGCUGGUAUGAGAGCAAGAACAAUGAGGGAGAGAGGCUUUACAGCUCUCUAGCUGGCAGGAGAUCUUCCAGAUGUCUUUUUCCUUCCCCUUUCAUCUAAGGUGAAAAAGGGGAUGGAGUGAAGGCUGUCCUUUCAUGGCUUGUUGACAGUUUGUUAGGCAGAGAUUGGAAGGAGGCUCCAGUUAACACCUGGGCAUUCCUGUACUUUAGUUCUUCCAGCAACUAAUGCUGGUUCAUAAUCUGUGUUUUCAGAAACCUCUCCAUCCACUUCUGAAGCACGGUCACUGUUUUGCUCAGCAGGGAUCAGAAUCCUGGUUAUCAAUUGCUAUUGACAUGGGCAUAACAUUUUAUCCUUCCCACCUUCCCACCAGGAAAAGAUGAAGCCCCAUCAGCAAACUGAUCCAGACUGCCCUGUUCUCCUGGGGUGACAUCCACAGGAUGCCUUUCUCUGCCAUGGAGCCCUGUGUCAGUGCAAGCUGCUCUGAGGACAUGGACCCAGACCCAAAACUGGGUGAAGGCAAGGGCCUCCAACACCCCAGAGCAAAGGAAUUGUAUCACACGCACAGCAAACACUUUGCCAGAGGCUGCACCAUAUACUGAAGCAACCACACAGCCUGCAGCCCUGAUACAAAGCCACUGACCUGAACAGCAGCCAGAUCAUUUUUCUUAUGAGGAUGCACCAUUCUUGAGCAAUUUUUCCAGCACAUCCCACGCAAACAGGUUUUCUGUGAACACUGCACGGCAGCAUUUACCAUCUCAUGCCAGCUCUUGUUUUUCCCUAAUGGCAGGGGUUGGGAGAGCUCUCACGUAUCACUGGUGUGUCUGUGCUGGUGGGCACAAAAUCUGAGGGGAACCCUCAUGGAAAAUCGAGCACUAAACCAUUUCACAUCACCAGUUCUGCUGAAGCCAGUAUUACAGGAUGGUUUGGGUUGGAAGGGAUCUUAAAGAUCAUCUAUCUCCAACCUUAAGUUAGACAAGGUCACACCUUUCUGCAGAAAUCUGGGAUCCUGGACCUUGCACAUACAUACUAGUCUAAUAACACAUUCUUCAUCUUCUUAUCACUGCAACAGCCUUUCCAGGAAGGGCACGUUGUCUCUUCCCAUCUGGCAUGUAGGGGCUGCAGAAGCAGUGUUGAUUCUUCAACACUGACACUAACUCCUGUUGUUUGAGAUGUUAUGCUAAAUUAGCUGAAUUCUUGGUGGUAAAAAGAAAAUGUGGAGGGAAAUGGAUAGUGUCUGUAGAAUCUCAUUUAUAGCCCCAUGUAUUUUGAGCCCACUCUGACCUGAAGUUUAAGCUACUAUGGAAGCAAGGAGAUUUUAAGGCAUUUUUUUGGCCCAAUUUAUCAACUUCCAUUGCACAACAGCACCUCAGGGCAGCCAGGGUGUAUCACCAGAUACAUUCACUGGGCUUCUUAGUGGUGAGUGAUGGCCAUGUGCUAUUUGUUCAUAACUAAGUGAAAGAAAUGGCCAAAAUCCCUCUCUUCCCACAUGGUAGAGAUGGAGGGUAGUUUCUACAGGAGCAGCUCUGCUCCUUGGCAGCCACCACAUUUUGAUCAAAACUUGCAAUCUCCUCAUGUCCCUCAUUUCUGUAUGCAGGAGGGAGGAGGAAGCAAAAGCAGCCAUGCUUCUCCUACUUGUCUGGCCCUGGUACCCCAUACACUGCUCUGAUGGGAAUAGCAGGGCACAAAAGCUACUUAUCCAAGAUGAUCUAAUUAACACUUCCCAUGUUGUUUCAUUUGGUAAGAGACUGAUACUCUAGUUCUCCCUUCAUCGCCCUGAAAAGUCCAUUAAUUUUAACCUAGCAAAAAAGGAUUGGUGGAUAUAAGAUUUGACCCUCAAACAAACAAAAAAAAAAAAAAAUCAGAAAUUGAGUAUUUUCCUUUAUUUGUAAUGCAACACACUAAAUAAUCUUCAGAAGUGCCAAAUGCCUGGGGAAAAGCAUUUCAUCAUAUAAUUUUGAGAGAGGGAAGAAGCAAGCCCAAUAGUCAUGGAUUCAGUGGAUAGAGUGGAUUGAGCCCUGUCCCUGUUAGUCUGAUCAACCUCCCAUGUUCCCUGCACUUGUCCUAUCAAACCUACCUGAGAGUAUUUGAGGUAGUUCUUACCUAAUUGUCAGGCACAGAAGUAACUUCUGUCUGUGCCAUUAGCUGAGAUUUCCUGGGGUUGAUUCCUGUGUUCACAGACUUCAAGCAAGUAGUUGUUGGGAGAGGGAGAGAAUGAGCUGGGUGUCAGCCUUGCCAUUGUCAGAGGAUUCAGUGUGUUUUGGAAGAGAGGCAAGAGACUUUAGGAAAACAAUUCUCAUAUACACAAGUCUACAGAGAAAGCAGUGAUCAGCACACAAAGCAAAACACAGCUUAACUUUAGCAACCUACAAAAUUCACAGCAAUGUUGCUGCACAGGGGGGCUUGGCAUGAUAUGUGAAAAAGUUAAGUGGCCCCAAGAGUGAAAAGGCAUGGACAACUGCCAGUAUAAUUAUGCAGUUCUCAUCUGAGCAUUCCCCUCAGUGAGCUGCGUUAGGCUGCAGAGCAAUCUGUAAUUGGGAAGUUUGGCAGUGAUGACAGAGAUGUCCCUGGCAUCCAUUUUUGACCAGUCUAUUGUACAGCCAGCUCUUCGGAGCCUCUCUGGGUACCAGAGAGAACAGAGGUCUCUCCUGCAACUGGGCAAGAGCUGUGGCUCUCCACAAGUUGGACAGGAUCCACUUCAGCCUCCGGCACAAAGCCCUGGAAGCAACGGAGCCCGGGCCGCGUUGCCUCUUCGUACAGAGUCUGGGCAGACACAUCCAGGUCACUCACUCCAGACAGCAUUCAUGACCUGUGUCUUUGCUGUUUUCCAGUUGCCCAGAGGGGAGCUCAGAGCCUUGGCAGCAGUCCUUCACAGUCCCCAGGGUCCCUGGGUUGUGCUGCCUGCUGAAGCAUGGCUGGAGCGUGUGGCAGCUCAGGAACUUGGGAAGAGGCCACCACGUCCAGCUUGGAUGUGAUGUGUCUCACCCCACGGUGUCUUUUGGGUUCAUUUAGGCACUCAGCUCAUCCUUCAGUGGCUGAAGGGAGAUCCAAGAAUAGGAUUUAGCUGUGGGUCACCCUCCCUUUCUCCUCCUCAAUCCUUUAGAAAGAAUAAAUGCUAAAGAGAAUGAAGGUCAUCCACGGCCAAGGCAAGUCCAUGCUAAUCCCUCUCUGGAGUCUUGGCAUUCAAGCCCUGGGAAGUAUUAGGAAAUGGAUAAUAGAACAGGAAAUGACAGAUUUUGGUAGCUGUGGAAAGGAGAGACACACAUUACCCAUGCCAUAGACAUAAAGGGGAGGGUUUCCCUCUCCUCCCAGGCUAUGGAUGCUAGAAUUGAAUGGACAUGGUGUCCAAACUGGGUGAAAAAAGACUGUGCCAAUAGCUUGAGGAUGACUUUAACACUUGGUGCCUACCCUUCCUGUGUUUGCUCCCAUGGAAUUUUCAGUAGGCACACUUGCAUGCAUUUGAGAAGGAAAGAAAAUGUGUCUGACAGCCCAUUGCUCUAGCAGAUCUUCCCUUUUAUUUCUGAGCCCAGCUUGAAAAGGGCUUUUCUCUGCCAACCUGGAGAAAGAACUGAAAGUGCAUGAUCAGCUGAAAAAGCAAGCUCAAGCAGCUGCAAGCAAACCCGACACCUUCUGCAACAUCCAAGAGACCAGAAACUCCGUUCACUUUGUUUCUACACAACUGAUCAAUUGAAACCAAUCAAUGAAACACUGGGGGUUGGCAGGUUCCUGCCUCCACCCCUGGGCUCUGCCUGAUCCCAACAGCAGCCCAGAGCUGGCUCCCAUGCUAAUGCAUGCUCAAGCACAGAUCCUUCAGUGACAUCUCAUCCUCCAGGAUAUCUCAUGGCUGUCUAAUUAUUAUCUAAAGCCCAGCCUGGAUAAAACAGAGUUUUUGAUAUCCCUUUUUCUCCCAAACCUUCUACCUAAAUCUUUUCAAAACACAGUGGGUAACAUGAUGGUUUAUCUGCCAUGCAGGCAACUGCUCCUGAUGCCACUUCAUACCUCUCCUUCAAAGCCCAUGAAUUUGGGCUGCAGUUAAACCUUGCAGAAUUUUUCAAGCCUAGCUUCUCCAGCCCUGCAGGUAAAGCUUUUGCAUAUCUUUUCCUUUGUUACUGAAGCACUUCUUGUGGGCCCUGAUCACACUUCACCCUUACCCAUUUGAUAUCACCAUGGAGAUUUUUCUCCUAACCUUUCUCUUUUGUCCUGUUUCUCAGGUUGUAUCCCUUCAUUGGUUCAUCCCUUCCCAUAACACCAAACUCAGGUCUUGACCCUCAACACCUUGUGACUUCUCUGUCCAUAGCCCUUCCCACCAAUAACCAGCCCACAAUGGUGGCCAACAUCAUUUCUAUCAUGUCUUUGGAAGUGCUCCUCAAAAAACCUCCAAAAAUCAGUCUCUGGUAGAAACCCCUCUUUGCUCCCAGUAUCUGCAUACUGGUCAUGUUGCCACACAACACAUUGGCAAACAUCACUUUCCUUCUCCAUGCUGUCAUUUGUCUGAGACACCCAUUUUCCUAUGUCUUAAUCUUGGAAUAGAAAGCGUGAAGAUUUGUUGCAUAGCAUGGCUCAGCCCAGCUGCAGCUUCUUGUCCUAUGGCAACAGGAACCAGGAAUAAUAACAGCAAGGUGGUGACUCAUUAAAACCAAUAACCUCAAUAAUUAGACUUACUUAACUUUUCCAAUUGUAUAAACAGCUGAGGGGGAAAAAAAGAAUCUUAUGCUUUUCCAAUAUUUUUCCUUCUUCCAGUUUCUCACACAGAAAUUGUCAGUAUUGGGCACUUGUCACAGUCAAAUUUCCUCUCUCCACACAACAGUAAAUUCAUGGAAUGAACUGAAAUGUUUGCUUUGUCCAUAUUCUGUCAGUGCUGAAGACUCUCCAGCAUCUCUGCUCUGAGCAAGGAGACCAGCUGCAGCCCUGCCUUGGUGCCAACAUUGUUCCAGCUGCUGUUGCUAUAGGAAAAAAACCAAAGGCAGAACUGUCCAAGUUUCGAGUUCCUGAAAAAAUCUGUUUAAGUCAGCAGGGAUAGAAUCUGGAUGCAAAUUUCUCUCCAGAUCUGAUGAUCAGUAGGUGCCAUCUACCACUUCAUUCAGCUGCUGCUGGUUGAAGCUGUAUCCUAGUACAGCCUCUUUGCUGCCCCUGUGACCUGCCCCUCUUAACAUUUCCCUGCCCAUUGCCUCUUGUCAGAGGCAGAGAAAGAGGCUUGGACCAAGGAAAAAGCUGCCCAGGGGAUUAACAGAGGGUGUCUGUGGGACAAGGAGCCAUCACAAGUAGGACAGAACUCGGAGAGCACUGGAGGGAGAGGUAGCCUGGGGGCAAAAUAAUGGGAUAAGGUAGCUGGUGAGAUAAGGAGCAAUCAGGUUGGCAGGGAGUGGGAGAGAGAAUCAAGGAACCAGGGAAGAAGACCUGAGAGGACUGAAAUGAAAAGGCAAUGAAGAGACCAAACUGCUAAGAGAGGUGGGUGUCAUCCCUGAGCAGAGCUUCACACUCCACUCCUCUUUCUCAGUCCUUGUCCCUCCAUUUUGGGCACACCAGGACCUUGUGUUUAACUUUGUCCUUCUUUAAUUUCAAGGGAUCUCAGUCCCCUGUAGCUGAUGUAGCUGCAGAACCAGCACUGCCCUGGAAAUGGCUGCUCUUACCCCAGCAGGGCAACUGCCCUGCUGCCAGCAUUGAGGGAACCUUAGUAUGGAUCAGACCUCAAGAACCUGACUGCCAAACCUGCCCUACAGACCUCACCCCCCUCCCAAAAGAAGCACACCAAGACUUGAUGAGGCUCUUUCACUGAGAAACACAAAAGUAGGGCACAGUCCUGCAGCAGGCACCCGGGGUAUCCACAGUCCUGAAAUUUGGGGAUCCUGCAGCAGGAGCCCUGGCAUCCAUCUGGAACCAGUGGGAAAGCAGGUUAUCUCCACAACAACGUGGUGAGCAUCAUCGAGGGACACCUAAAGCAUCUGAUGGGAAUGCCCCCAAGCCAUGACAUAGGAAUUCACAGGAUGGCUUCUCAGUAGGAUUGUUCCUAUAGUUAAUUAGCCUCUGGUCCUGAUUUUCAGCGGGAACAUUUCUUGUUUUCAUCUCCAGCAAAUGGCUCUAAUAGAUUUGACAGCCUGCUUUCACCUUCUUCUGAUGCAGGUAUUUCUGGACAAAAUCCCUUCUCACCUUCCCUACUGCCGUGUAAACAUCCUGGAGCUCUACCACACUCCUGUUUCCAAACCUGUGAAGUCCCAGAUGGUCCAUUAACCAUCCUCCUCAGUUUCUUUCUCUGCAUCGUGAGACUUUCUAGCAGAACCUCUUUACCUUUUCUCUGGGACUUUUUUAAUAGUGCUGUUUCACAGAGGAUUUUUGGGUUGGGAAAAAAUAUAGGCUCUUGGCACUAAACAUAGACCCUUCUCGGUAAACAUGAGGCCCUUCAUUUUAAAAGUGACAAACCUUGCUUCUUAAUUUAAAAAAGAUUAAUUUUCCCAACCCUAUUUAGAAAAUAAAGAAAAACUAUUGCUGU